CGGCUCCCACCGAGAAGGAAGGAAACAACGGGUGAACUCUGAAUCUUCAACUGAGGGUCUCUUUCUGUUGCCCAGGCUUGAAUGCAAUGGUGUGAACACAGCUCAUUUCAGCAGCGUUGACCUCCUGGACUCAAGAUAUCCUCCUCCAUCAGCCUCCCUAAGUAACCAAGACUACAGAUAUGGGGGUCUCACUUUGUUGCCUAGGCUGGAGUGUAAUGGUGAUUCUGACAAAUGAUCAUAGCACGCUACAACCUCUACAUCCUGGGCUCAAGAGCUUCUCCUGCCUCAGCGUCCCAAGUAACUGGGACUACAGUCAGGUGUGAGGAAAUGGAGAAGUUGAAUUGGUGGCUGGGAGUCUACACUUCAACUGUUUGCAACUCCCUUCAGAAAACAUGGCCCUUUGAUGUCUCUUCAUGUUUAGCUUGUAGUCAGAGUAGCCAAUUUUUCAUAGAAACAUUAAGUAUUUUUUAUGAGAAAAUGUAUUUUGAAAUUAAAAACAUGGCUCAAAUAAAAAAUAAACAAUCAAUUCAUCUACAUAAAAACUACAAAAGUUCAAAUUCAUUUCCAUUUUGCCUGCCAACAUAUGGAAAGGACAGAGGACUGCAGGACAGGCCAUAUCUGCAUAUAUUCCUUAAAGAGUUCUGAAGAAAAAGCAUCAACGGGACUUCACUGUACUAGUCUGCUGUCUCCUCUGCCUUAGAGAAGCAAAGAAAAGUGCUGGAGAAACACAUGACAAUGCUUCUCCCUCAAGGAAGCUGGAGAAUAGCUGGACAAUAGACAAUGAGUUGCAUGAAUAUAAAAACUAAGAGUUACUGUUCCUGUGAUAAAGAUAAUUAAAAAGUUUGGAAACAAGAAGGUUAACUUGGUAAAAUGGAUGCAGCGAAAUGUUAGAAUAUGAAUAAAAGAUAAACAAGACUUCACCAUGUUGACCAGGCUGGUUUUAAACUCCUGACCUCAAGUGAUCUGCCCGCCUUGGCCUCCCAAAGUGAUGGGAUUACAGGUCUUAUAUUUAAGAGUUGGGGCUGAGACCAGUCCUGGCCAGGGCAGUUACCAGAACGGUCUCCGGAGGCCAGGAUUUGUGGAGGGUCCACCAGCAGG
rnacentral:lncRNA from 1 species